rnacentral:lncRNA from 1 species
GGAAGCUGACCUGGGUCCAGUCCUUUUCUCUCCUCCUCUUCUUCUUCUUAUUUAUUUACUUUCUGGUUGUCUCUCGGCUCCUUGCUGCCACUACUGUGCACUUGUGUUUGUUCUGCAGUGUGUGGUUGAGCCUCUGGCUUAUGCAACAAUCACCCUUGGGAGUGGAGGUGUCCACUCCCCAGAUCGAAGCUCCAGUUUUGGCUCACACAGAUCUAUCUUUGGCUUUACGGGGGUCCGUGCUGUUUGGGCCGGUCUAAGGACUCUGUUGGCUCCAUAUGAGUCCAUACGUAGUUGUCUCUUUAAAGACUAUAUUGGCUUCACUUUAGAGUGGGAGGAGCUGACAGAAUAACUACAAUCCGUUGCUGCUGCCACACACAGAAUGAAGGUGGAUCGGUUGAAGUUGCGAUAAAUUGUUGAGAUCGCAACUUUCUGGAGGAUUUGACCUCCACUCGGUCUGCAAAUGGAAACUGAAACCAGAAAAAAACCUGGUCCCUGACCUGCAGAUUCUGCCUGCACACAGACCGGGAUUUCUGUGGAUGGAGGAAAAGUUCUCUAAAGUUAGCAUUGGUGUGAUCAAAUCUGAAUCAGGAGUCAGGAUGGAGGCCCAGCAGACAGACAUACCGGAUGGAUGGAGCUGGAUGUUCAGAGACUUCAUGUUCAUCUGUCUGACUCACCGUUUAGGAGGAACUCUGUGGAUGAACCUACAGCCUCAUUUAGAGGAGAGGACACUCAGCUCUCAGUUUAUGAUUAAUGCAGAUGAGAAAGUGUAUUUUUAAAUCUAUCAGAGACUCCAGUUUGUGCCUUUUUAAGGACAUGAAACCAUGAAAAGUCAUAAAACUGUUUCUAUUUGAUGCACAAGAAUCCAUGUUUAUAAGAGCGCCAUCUAUUUCAGCUGUGAGUAAGCUUUUCAGAUGAACUGUGAGCUCAGAGUCAGGACGGUCAGUGACUAACGGAAAGUCAACAAACACUGUCAAAUACUGGAACAGGAUUACAUGAAAGGGGAUCAGGGUCAUGGAGAGUCACCUUCUCAUGAAUUUACAGGAUCUGUGUGAUUUUUUUAUGAUGCUAAGUGAAGUUAUUCACCAUCGCUCCGACUCUGUUUACAUUCCACUUAUUUUAUUUACACUCAGACCCAUCUAAGAUGAACAAGUGGUUUUUUUUCAACUUCUCAAACACAGCACACUUUUAUUUAUUUACACGAGAGGGGAGCACGUAUGAAUUAAUGACAAUAAAAACCCUGUUGUGUACUCUGAGAGUGAAAACAUUGCACAUUAAAAAGCAGGUUGUGUCAGCGGUGACAUUAGACAACAUGAUUUAUUAAAGACCAAGUGACGAUGAGUCGAAGAGCCCGAGGCUGAAGCUGUUAGCAGUGAGACACAGCGUUUCUGAAACGUUCAAAACAUUGUCAAACAUGUAAACAAGUCUCUUCAGAUAAUCACCAAAAACAGAGUACUGCUGUUUCUGAACUCCAGGUCAAAGAAGUUUCAAGUUAUAAUGUAAUAAAAGUAAUGAGGGUGAUGUUAGAGGUUUAGACUUCACUGAGACCUCCGAUACUCAACAUUAACUCUAAACACAGACACGAAACUUCAGCUCAAAGAAAGAACAAACCUCACAGCUGAUCGUCUGUUUGCAGGAAAGGAUAUGAGGAGGCGUCAGAGCAAGAGUAAGACCAGUUCAGAAGUCCUAAACAAUAGGGCUGGGCGAUAAAACGAUAAUGAUAUACAUCGAUUGUAGAGGCAAUGUCCUAAACACUUGCCUCUACUGAUUGCUGAGUAAAAGAAAAGAACUAACUUCUGACGUGUGGUGUGAAAUAAACUGAUGUCCAAAAAUGUGUCCAGAAUUGAAACAAACGGUAGUUUAUUCUCACAUCUUCUUUUCCUCUUAAGCACAGGAACAAAUAGAAUAAAGAAAAAUGGUUAAUUCCACGAACACCAGUCCACACUCCAACAGUCAAAAGACUGUUUGUCUCUCCCAAUCAGCAACACCUGCCACUGAUUACCACCCUACUCAAGUAACCUGGCCACCAUGACCCUUGAACCUGGGCGUGGCUUGAGAGUGAUGUCACAGCGUGGGGAAAAUUAAGAAAAUCAUAAUAUGGCUCUUACAUCGAUAAUUAAUUUCCCUCAAUAUCAAUAUAAAACAUGGUCAAUAUGCUUUUCAGUAGUCGUCAUUCUGACAUGUUUUGGUCGACUAUAAGAAUAGCCAAUGAAAAGGGGAGUUUCUGCGGGUCUGAACCAAUUAUGUUCUGAAUUAGAACCAAGUAUCAACCAACUGCAGCGUCGUAGCAGACAGCAGCUCCACCCAACCAUAGCACUUUAACAGGUGAAGCCGACAGCACUGUUGGUGAGAAACAAAGAAAAUGAGUGCUACCCCCGACAGAAAUGACCAUGAAGGCUCAACAGAUGACCACAUCAAUGUCAACCACAACACUGGCGUUAGGAAAACGUCGGUGGUGUGGAGGUAUUUUGGUUUUUGGAGGUCGGACAUGAAGCAGAGUAAUGUGGACUGUAAAUUAUGUCGAGUACAUGUUCUCACAAAGUCGGGGAAUACCUCAAAUCUUUUUCACCACCUGAAGCAGCGCGACGCCGCAGAGCACGCGCAACGCAAAAGGUUACAAACCCCGAGAGGAGCGAGGAGCCGAAACAGACGACCAUUCAGUCGGCUUUCUCUAAAGCGACGCCUUACGACAAAACGACAAAACGCCAAAGAGACACAAAGACCUCACAGAUGCAGGAGAUUAUUGUGUUGGAAAAGACAUGAGACCAAGAAACACUGUUAGAUUUUUAGAUCCUGAUAUUGAUCGAUAUCAGCUGAUAUGAAAAAAAUAUAUAUUGAUAAACUUUUUCCCAUAUCGCCCAACACUAAUUCAGAGUUAUUCCACCGAAUAUGCCCCUGUCUCAGCUUCUCUGUAAAAAGUAGUAAUCUGGUUUCCUGUUCAUCUGUCUGUGGAGAGUCUCAGUUUCUCUGUUAAAAGUCCUUCAGAGGUUUCACUCCGGCCUACUUCACGGUUAUGAACCUGAAAAAGAAACUGAUUCAUUUGUACUUAACGGAUCUUUAGUUUGCUGUAAUAACAAAGUUGAACUUCGGUCCGGUCAUUAUCAUGGAUUAUGUUCUGCCUGCUUUUGCUAUCCAUAUGAGCUGUUUUUGUCAGGCUGCUGACACCUGAUUGUUCAAUAUUGGACUUUAAAAGAAUUUUGAACUGAAACCAGAACAGUUCUUAAACUCCAAAUAGAGUUGCUGGUUUUCCCGGGGAAGCUCUGGUCCGGCCACAGUCUAACCGCCCACCUUGGUGGCGGUGCAGAGCAGUAAUAAAGCUCGACACUCACCAUGACUCUGCAGGACGGUUCAUACGCACUAACUGAUAUUUGCAGCGAGCCUGUCCUGUGUCACGGCGCUCCAUCAUUGUAAUUAUCGUUAUCAGAGUCAUGUGCAUGAGCGAGUUUAUCCCCUCGGCUCUGACGCAGUUCUCAGUAACAGCUCUUGUUAGUGGAGAACGAGAAGUGUUGAGAAACCUCUGACCGCAGCGUAUAUUUAGGCCAAACCGCCGUAUGCAGUCUGUCCAAACAUGACAAGGAAGAAGGGGAAUUAUGUGAGAAACAGGGCGGGUGGAGAAGGGAAAGACAAACUGUAGUUAGGAAACCAUGAGUAGAAUGAUGUGGUUUCACAGCUGGGAAACUCAGACGCAGUGCAAACACAAAACCUACUUCUUUCUCUCCCUGAUUAAAGGAAAGAAAAGCCCAGAGGCAGAAGGUCACAGGUUAGAUCCCAACAUCCAGCUAUUGUCCUGUUUCUCCAAAGCUUCUCCAGAUUUCAUCUCCAAACUGUCACCGUUUCACAAGACGUGGGAGACGUGACGUUAUCAAAGGAGACGUUGUGGAGUAAAAACAUCUUCAGCUCAAAAGCAGCUCUGCCUGAGAUUGUGGCCUGAAUCUGUAAAAAGGAGUAUCUGUGAUUGUCGCUCUGAUUUCCUUUAAACAUUCACAAACUUUACUUUUUCUGACUUCCCCUUGAAAUACCUCCUCCCCCGAGAAGAGGGCCGAGUUCAAACAGGAGAGAAAACUUUCAAAGGCGUGUAGAGCAGUGACGCACUACAGGUUUCCCUCAUCACUUCUUCUUCUUCUGUUCUUCGCACACACACACACACACACACACACACACACACACAGAGCGAUGACUCACUGCAGGUACGGUCCACCUGUCUCUGUGAUCUCGCCUGGCAUCGAUCGCCCAUCUUCACCUGUCAUCUGCUGCUCUCUCUCUUUUCUCUUCCUCUCUGUUGUCUCUGCUCAUUUGUCCACUGACCUUUCUCUCCUCUCUCCGCCUUCUCCUCCUUCGGUUUCCCACUCUUCUUCAUAUUUCUGUCCCUAACUUUUUCAUUGUCUUUUUUCAACUUCUCCUCAUGGUUUCAUCUGUUUCUAUAACCGUCUGCAGCCUAAAGCAGGUCGUUAACAGCUCACUAACUCAAAGGCUGAAAAUACCUCCGUCCUUCAUUCGUCCCGAUAGGACCCGAAAUAUUUCUGCUCCUCUUCCAGCAAAAAAUGACGUUUUCAGAUCAAUGUUAAUAUUGCAGCAGAGUAAAUGCAUGUGAAUGAACAACCAUUCAUUCAUUCACCUCUAUACCACUUAUCCCUUUCGGGGUCGUGGGUCGGCUGGAGCCUAUCCCAGCUGUCAUUGGGCGAGAGGCGGGGUACACCCUGAAUCAGUUGCCACUCAACAGCAGGGCCACACUCACACUCAUACCUAAGGACAAUUUUAGAGUCAACAACUGACCUAAUGAGCCUGUUUUUGGUCUGUGGAAGGACGCCAGAGUGCCCGGAGAAAACCCACGCAUGCACGGGAAGAACAUGCAGACUUCACACAGAAAGGCCCUGCCCAACCCAGGGAUUGCACCAGUGACCUUCUUGCUGUGAGGCAAGGGUACUACUUGCUGCGCCACCAUGCCAUCAGAGGAACAACCAAACAGGUCAGAAGUUCUUAGAGAGGAACAACCAAAGAGUGGCUCAUCACUCUGUGAGAGACUGCGAGUGCUAACUGUUCAACAGUUCCAGAAAAAAGUUCCUUGAGUGGAUUCCAUCGUCUACGGAACAUCAGAUCAUUUAGAGAUUCAGAGGAUCUUAAGAAAUCUCUGUACUGAAGGGACCAGGACCAGGACCAGGACUUGAUGGUCCUGGUCUUCAGGGCUUUAAAAAGAGACAGGACUUGGGAGUGGAAAUCAGAUAAAACCAUGAUCCAGAAACCCUUUAGGAAAACCGUCCCGUGGUGCAGUAAAUGAAGAUCUGACCUUUUUCUUGAACUGAUGUUGAUAAUCACUCUACAGAGCAGAAGGACCACAGGUUUUUCAGUUACAUCACUUUACAAUGAGAGUAUACUUGGAUAAAAUAAUUAAGUUUUCCAUCUUAACAUCUGAGUUUGGAUAUGAAGUUUAAAUCAUCUGAAAACCAGCUGUCUUCUUUGUCCUCAUCUUCUCUGGCCUUCACUUUCACACCGUCACUGAUCGUCUCCUUUCCUGUCAUUCUUUCUCUUUUCUCUCCAGAACCUUCUCGUCUACUUUAUUCUUCUCUCCUCAUUUCCUCUCCUCGCUCUCUCAUCAUUCAUCUCCUCUUUCCUCACCUCUCGUUCACACGUCUCCGCAGAUGAGACGGUGAGCAGCCCUUCAGAUCUCUUUACGUUCCUGACGCUCUUUCUGUCGUCUCAGUGCUUUCGCUUUACUCACUUUGUGAAUCAUCUCUCUCCUGUGUGUGUGUGUGUGUGUGUGUGUGUGUGUGUGUGUGUGUGUGUGUGUGUGUGUGUGUGUGUGUGUGUGUGUGUGUGUGUUAAUGUUGACUCUGUAUUUUCUGCAGAGUGUUUUAUGUAACUGGUCUCACACACACAGAGUAAGCCCAGGUGUCGGUCGUGUCUAUGAGGAGUUGGAGGUUCAGGACUUGAGGGUUCAAAGCUCGGUAGUUGAUCUCUGGCUCAGAGGGUGAUGAUGUUACGCUCACACACAUCCGGGUCUUACUGAGCCCCCGACUCUUUGAAGCAGACAGACACAGAAAGUUUAGUCAGCGCUGAUUGUCCUCCUUAAAAAAGUUUACUUGAAUCAGACUUCGGGGACUUUCUCAUGUUUGUUUUGCAGCAGAAAAAAAAGACCAUAUUUCUCACGCUGAUGGUUUUGGAGAGCGCACUUUAACGAGCGAUUUCUCAUCUGAGUAAGAGCAUCAGCAUUUCCUUUAACCCUUCAUGGCUCUGAAGGAAACGAGUCCUCUUGACCAACUCUAAAAACUUCUCCCCUGAGUUCACCUGAAUCAGUUUUUCAGCUUCUGUAUAAACCUGAUGUCUGGUUUCAGUCUGAGAUUGUUGUACUCUGUUUAUAGCACAUUUGUGGUCCAGGUCCUAUUGACCAAUCAGAUGGCAGCAGCUUAAUCAUUUUUUUACUUUAUACACAUCUGCAUCAAAAUUUUGUAAUUAUGGUGAACUUUAGACGCCCCAAUUACAAGAAAAUUCCAGAAAAGUAAAAUUCUUUUCAUUUUUAGGUUCAUAAAGCUGCCAGAGCGAAGCUGCUGUCUACUGUGAAACUGAGACUCACCACGAAUGGUCGAACAGAGAGCGAGAGAAACCCUCUGUGUAACUAAUUACAGUGAAACUGAGUCUGGACCAAAACAGAUGAUUAAAAGUUGGAGUAACCCGAGAUUUCAACUGCAUCUGGAACAGCUCUGAUCCAGAACGGCAGUGAUUUUCCCCAUACGCCAAUUCCUCCGCAAAUUUCGUGGCAGAUUAUGGACAGCAGGAAUCGCGAGAACUCACAAGAACCCACAGAUUCACGUUCAAUCGCGCGAUAACGAGUUGUCUCUCUAGAGACAGACACAUAGACAUAUCAGCAGUAGAUUGUGUCCUUCCAGAGGAGGAAAUCUACUUCUAGACUUCUAGAAUCAGCAUCUCCUCAUCCAUGGUGUCAUCGGGGUGAAAUGACGUCUAAAAACCUUUCGCUUGUUGGUCUCCGCCCGUUUGCAUGGUGUGAAAUACGAUCCUCCUGAAACACGGAGUGUUUUGUUUUGAAAAGAAGCCGGAUGUUUUAUUUUGUGUCCGUGCCCGACUUCCUUUCCAGCACGGUUUCAAUUUAUCCGCCAUGCUCCGGUGUCCGGAAUAAAUAGAACUCUUGUGAUCAGCUGAGGAGUCCGGCGAUCGGCAGAGGAACGGAAAGAAGCUGGUGGAAAUUGACACGUUAACUUGAAUAGUUACGAUCAGCUACGAUCGGAGGAUAUAACCUUUUCGUAACCGUUCUGGAUACGGUGGAAAUUGGGGGUAAGACUCAAACACCGCCCCUAAAAAAGGAAGGCUCCGCCCACCAUGACCCAGGAGACGAUGUCAGGUGGAGAACAGAGAGUCUACCAGGGUUAUUGCUGCAUUGUCUCUGUUUGUGAAGGUGUUAUUUUCACCUUGAGGCCUUGGCUGUGAUUACACUGAUGAUUUCUAAACUCUCUUAUUCUGAGAAACUGACACCAGACCUGGAGCUUCUGUCUAAUCAUCCAUUACUGAGAAAACCAAAGGUUACAACAGGUGGAGAAUAUUCUCCAACAGAGGAGAGUAAACACUCGGCAGAGAGCGGACAAGAAAUGUGUGGGUAUCUAAAACAGACCUGACCCGAGCUGACUCCAGGUGUGUGCUGUGUGUCCAAACAUCUGCUUUAAGCUCCUAAUCCCCCUAAUCAUCUGAGCUCAGCCCUCUGGGUGGACCCGCAUACUUUUUUAAAUAGUUUCAGUCUGAGAUAAAACGCAGGCGGAGCUUGUCGAGGACAGAGCCGAGGGCUGCGAGGAUUCAUUUCAAUAAACUAAAUCAGACACUUUAGAUGAAAUGUUGUCAUCUAGCUGUUUGUCUUCAGUGACCACAGACCACACCUCUACUUUUUAAUCUGAGAAACAUGUCCGACCUCAAAGCUGCUCACCAGAAACCCACAGGCUCUGCAGACGAACGCCUGACGUCAGAGGUGGUUAAAGGCAAUAUCGUUGUUUUUAAUUCGGAGCACAUUUUUAACACGUUUGGGGUCUGAAAGAGCUAAUUAAUAUGAGAAAGGUUAAAUUACUUUAGCUGACAGCUGUGAAACAGGCUGGACUGAGUGCAGACUAAUCCUGAGUAAUGAAAACGCCGCGUCAACACCAAGUCCUUUAAAAGUGCUUGUUUCUCAGACUGGUGUUUAAAGAGAAAGACACAUUUCAUCCGCAGACUACUACAAACACACACAUUUAACGCCACAGGAAGCAGGAUGACUGAUUUUGAAGAACAAAUCAAACUUCAAAGUACAGGUAUGAGGGAUGUUGGGUACUGAGCAGGUUUUCCCUGACCCUCUGUACGAACCUGCUGUCUUCUCCUAAUUCUAACCCUGCUACACUGGCGGCCAACAUGGCUACCCUGAACCCCGGGGUACAGAAUCUGAACGACACUAAAAUGAUCCGGUCAGCAGCUCACGGUCGGUGAGAGGUCGAGCAGACGGCUUAUAUAAAUGAGGAUUUAACCGUAACCUGAGUCUCCAUUGUUUCCUCUAAUUGCUGCUCUGCACAAACAAUGUUUACUGGAAAGUCCAAAAUUUGACCAACGUUUGGUUUUCCUGUUUAAUUUUGAUUCUAUUUUUACGCUGAAGACAUCCAUCAGAAAGUGGCGCAAACACAUCUGCUCCGUGUUCACGGUAAAAAAAAUCUUUUUACUGACAGUUACUUUACUUUCACUCUCCUCCGACACU